AACGAACGCUGGCGGCAUGCCUAACACAUGCAAGUCGAACGAGAUCUUCGGGUCUAGUGGCGCACGGGUGCGUAACGCGUGGGAAUCUGCCCUUGGGUUCGGAAUAACUUCGGGAAACUGAAGCUAAUACCGGAUGAUGACGUAAGUCCAAAGAUUUAUCGCCCAAGGAUGAGCCCGCGUAGGAUUAGCUAGUUGGUGAGGUAAAGGCUCACCAAGGCGACGAUCCUUAGCUGGUCUGAGAGGAUGAUCAGCCACACUGGGACUGAGACACGGCCCAGACUCCUACGGGAGGCAGCAGUGGGGAAUAUUGGACAAUGGGCGAAAGCCUGAUCCAGCAAUGCCGCGUGAGUGAUGAAGGCCUUAGGGUUGUAAAGCUCUUUUACCCGAGAUGAUAAUGACAGUAUCGGGAGAAUAAGCUCCGGCUAACUCCGUGCCAGCAGCCGCGGUAAAGUGACUACUG
rnacentral:rRNA from 1 species